CACUGAUCGCUAGUACGGCGAGUGACCGGGAAGAGCUCAAAUUUGAAAUCUGGCGUGCUCAGUGCGUCCGAGUUGUAAUCUAUAGAGUCGUUUUCCGUGCCGGACUGUGUCCAAGUCCCUUGGAACAGGGUAUCAAAGAGGGUGAUAAUCCCGUACUUGACACAAUGACCGGUGCUCUGUGAUACGUCUUCUACGAGUCGAGUUGUUUGGGAAUGCAGCUCAAAAUGGGUGGUGAGUUCCAUCUAAAGCUAAAUAUUGGCGAGAGACCGAUAGCGAACAAGUACCGUGAGGGAAAGAUGAAAAGCACUUUGGAAAGAGAGUUAAACAGUACGUGAAAUUGUUAAAAGGGAAACGAUUGAAGUCAGUCGUGACUGAGAGGCUCAGCCGGUUCUGCCGGUGUAUUCCCCUCAGUCGGGUCAACAUCAGUUUUGUUCGGUGGAUAAGGGCAGUUGGAAGGUGGCACCCUCGGGUGUGUUAUAGCCAGCUGUCGCAUACAUCGGAUGAGACUGAGGAAUGCAGCUCGCCUUUAUGGCCGGGGUUCGCCCACGUUCGAGCUUAGGAUGUUGACAUAAUGGCUUUAAACGACCCGUCUUGAAACAGG
rnacentral:rRNA from 1 species